rnacentral:lncRNA from 1 species
AUGCAUUUUAUUUGUUUUAAAGAAGCAUCAUUGUUAAUACAUAUUGCACAGACACAGGUCACAUUCAUACAAUCAAUAAGUGCAUGUAAAUACAAAUACCAGGUAUGUUUUUAAAAAAAAAAUUAAAAAAAAUUAACAUAAUGAUUGCUUCUUUCAUAGGAGAAAAAUAUACAUGGAGGAUAUCACAUAUUAUUUAAAAGGUACACUGCUUUCUCUCUAUGAGACUUACUGUGAAACAAUAUUUCUAGUUGUACACACUCUGCAAUAUAAAUACAAAAAGAAAAGUCCUGCGCUCAUUCCAAUCACUCCUGGGCGGCAGCAACGAUCACAGUACACAUCAGCCAAAAUAUAUAUAGUAAAAACCAAAGAAAAAAGUUACCUGCGCUCUCUCCUUAAUCCCAAUGUAUAUUUAAAAAAAUUGAGGUCAUUAAGUUACUCCAAUGGCCACUGGAGGGAAUGCCCGCCUGCCAACGUCAAGGAAGACCCCCCCUAGACAGGUCCUACUCUGACCCUUCAGCUUGCUUCCUUGAGCUUCUGGCAAAGAUAUCUCUGAGACAGAAAGGGGUAUUUUUUUAUAUACACCCCUAUAUACUUAUUAACCCUUAAUAGGGAACACAUGGGAUCGGCGGCAGCAUUGUAACCUAGCUGUGUGAUACAAAUACAAAGAGAAAAGUCCUGCGCUCACUCCUGGGCGGCAGCAACUACCACAUCAGCCAAAAUACAUAUAGUAAAAAUAAAAAAAGUUACCUGCGCUCUCUCCUUAAUCCCUAUGUAUAUUUAAACAAAUGGAGGUCAUUUAGUUACUCCAAUGGCCACUGGAGGGGAGAUAUCUUUGCCAGAAGCUCAAGGAAGCAAGCUGAAGGGUCAGAGUAGGACCCAAGACUGUCACAGCAUUUGACAGCAUCUGCAAUGCCUUUUAGGACCAGUUAAGGCAACAUGCAAAUCUUGCUUUGAAGCCAGCAUCUGCAAUACGAGCUUAUCCUUUGCAAGAGAGGCCGGUUGGGCCCAGUAAAGGACACCCUCGGUCGCAUUGGAGCCCUUCAGAUCACCCAGAGAAGUGUGAUGCCAGGAGUGGGGAAUCCCGCUUCUAUCGACUUUCCUAUGCUCUGAGAGGGAGACGGGCAGGUUGUUUGAGAGGCGCGUUGCAUCAGAGGCAGCUUGCCAAUCAUGAGGGGAAUUGGUCUGGGGCAUACUUUUUUCCUGAUGCCAUUGCUUGACAGAGGCUAAGGCCACCUGACUCACUGGGACGCAUGGAGGAGGUCUCCCUUAGCUCCACCUGGCACAUCGCUGGUAGCAGCAUCAUGACGAGGCAUCAGUUAAGUGUCUUGCCAUGCAAGGUGCUUUACUGGGACUACUAUUAUAUGCAAAUUGUUCCUAGUGCUGUCUUGUGAAACACAGGAGUUUAGGCGCCAACGCUCAGUCUUAAUAGAUUUGGCUACAAUUUAUAUAUAAUCUUGUUAUUAUAUCAGUGUCCACACUCACACUAAGUUUAUUAGCUAUUGUUUUGUUUUGUCUAUUGUUGGGAUAUGUCUGCCUACUCUGCCAUUUAUUAUAGCUAAUGUAGACCUAGCUUGUUCUGUUUAUUCUGCAUUACAUCAUAAAAAUGUGCAGUGUUAUCGAAAGCCAUACAAUUGUCUGUCUAUGUCUAUUGAAAUGCUUGCUCUAGCUGUUGUGGCAUUGCAAGCCUGUUUGUAUUAUCUAUGCACAACUAAAAUAAAGAGUUCAAAAAAUAAAAAAAACUGUGCAUUGGUAUCUUCAUGGAAUGGGUUGCCAUGGCCAAGCAGUUGCAUGCAAACCUCACAUCACUAAGUACAAUGCCAAGUGUCGGAUUGAGUGCUGUAAAGCAUGCCACUUCUGGCCUCUUGGACCAGUGUUAAUGUGUUUUGUGAUGUGGUGAAUCAAGCUUCUCUGUUUGGCAGUCUAAUUGGAGAGUUUAGGUUUGACGAAUGUCAAGAGACCGUUACCUACCUGACUGCACUUUAGAAAAUAGGAUGAUGUACAUCUUACUUUUGAGGUCAAUUCAUCCAUGACAAAGUUCUCCUCAAUUUUAGAAAGCACAACUGGCAGCAACGACAGCUCCAUUUUCAACCAGCCUGCCACCAAAACUCUUCUAGCCCCCAGAGAAAUUAAAUUAAGUAGUUUUUGAGAAAGUUUAGUCAUCCCGUCAAUCUAAAGAGAGAGCAGAAACACCGAAGUAGAAAGCACAACCGGCCUCUGGAGGACCCCUGAAACGAGAUCAGUCACUCCCUUCUGAAACUCCUGUAGCUUAGGACAAUCCCACCACAUAUGGAGGUAUGUAACUCUGUGACUAUACAAGUGCCAACAGAGAUUGGUCUGAUUCCUCCCAAUCCUAUGUCAAAGUAACUCAGAUCUUUUUGGUGGCACAUUUUUUCUGCUUCCAACACAUGAAAUUCAAGAAAUGCUGGCACUUGCAGCCUAAAAUAUGUAAUAAAACUGGGGUUACAUGCAAGCGAAACACAAUUUUAAACAUUUGUUUUUGGGAUAGAACGCAUACUGAGGUCUUAGAUCCGGAGUGGGGAACCUUUGGCCCUCCAGACCCCUGUCUUAGAUGCAGCCUCCUAAAUUCCCUCCCACUCUCUAGGGCAGGCUUCCCCAAAUUCCAGCCCUUCAGAUGUUACUUAACUACAACUCCCAUGAUUCUUAGCCUAUCUAUUUCAGUCAUAAAAUCAAUGGAGUUGUAGUUCCGCAACAUCUGGAGGGCCGGAGUUUGGGGAAGCCUGCUCUAGGGUGUCACAAAGAUCCGCCUCUCAGUGAUCUACAUAUGGUCCCCAUACCUAAGGCUAUGCACAUGGAUUUGUAUAUACAAGGGAUAUAAGGCCCUUUUUUAUAUUCUCACACAUUACAUGCUCAAAUUAUAUUGGGGGGGACAUAUAGGGUUGCCAUUAGGCUGCCUCCUAAAUGCCAGAAGAAAAAGCAAAGUUCAGUAUCUGAAAAAAUCCUUGGUGUUCAAUUGAGUCUUGUGAAGGGUAAUUUUAAUGCUUCAGCAUACCAAGACAUUUUGGACAAUGCUUAUGUUUCCAACUUUGUGGGAACCGUUUGGGGAAGUCCCUUUUAUAUCCAUCAUUAUGUUGGCACAAGGCCAGGGCUUUCUGUCCAACAUCAGUGCCUGACCUCACAAAAUCCCACAGAUUCACUGUAGAACCUUGUGGAAAGCCUUCCCAAAAGAGUGAAAGCUGUUAUAGCUGCAAUUUGUGUAGCGGUUAUUAAUGUAUAUGUAUUAUGAAUGCAAUGUCAUAAAAGCCCCUGUUGGUGUAAUGGUCAGGUGUCCCAAUACCUUUGUCCAUAUAGUGUAUAUCUGAUACCCUUUUAUUUCAUAUAUAUAGUGAGGGGAAGAAGUAUUUGAUCCCCUGCUGAUUUUUAACUUUUGUCCACUGACAAAGAAAUAAUCAGUCUAUAAUUUUAAUGGUAGGUGUAUUUUAACAGUGAGAGACUGAAUAACAAAACAAAAAACCCAGAAAAACGCAUGUCGCAAAAGUUAAAUUGAUUUGCAUAUACAAAAAAAGAUAAAAAUAAAU